UUGGUGAGAGAUCUGGAAACCUAAGGUGUGCUGUCUGAGUAACAAUUCUGCAUAUGGAGUGGAGAGGAAAAUACUGCCAUCAGCCUGCAUACAUAAAUCUCCCUUCUUGCCCAUUGCUGCAGAAGUCACUGGACUAAAUUCCCAAAAUACAUUCUGAGCCUGCAGAGACAUCAAGAUUCCAGUAACAGGAAUACGUUGUUGAAGUCAGUGGGAAUGCUCUAAGUAUCUUAUCACCCAAAGUCAGCUAUUAAUUGUUCACCAGAAGGAGGCCAUGCUGAUGAAAGUACGUUUGCGCCUGUGUAUCCAACCAGUGUGUUACACUAGGAAUCCUUGCAAGUGUAAGUCAAAGCUCUUUCCUCCUGUGAGAUCCAGCAGAACACUGAGCAAGGGCAAUCAUAAAUACAUGACAACGGCUUUCUGCCUGAUAAACCCCCCUAAUUCACCCAGGUGAUAACAGAUUUUUGGUGAAAUUUCCUUGCUGACUUUU